rnacentral:tRNA from 1 species
GGGAAUGGAGCUCAGUUGGUAGAGUGCUUGCCUAGGAUGUAUGAAGCCCUGGAUUCCAUCCAGCAUGAUCA